ensembl:snRNA U2 U2 spliceosomal RNA
AUUGUUUCUGGCCUUUUUGCUAAGAUCAAGUAUAGUGUCUGUUUUUACUAGUACAACAUCUGACUUCCUCUGAGAACAAUAUAUUAGGUAGAUUUUUGGAGCUGGGAUACGGAACUGGCAUUUCUUCUAUGCAUUCACACACCAACCUGAUAUUGCAGUACUUUCAGGCAAUCACCU